rnacentral:misc_RNA from 1 species
CUGGCAUCUUCCCACCGCCGCCCCUCUCCCUGGCAUCUUCCCACCGCCGCCCCUCUCAUCUCCCUCACGCCCUCUCUCUGGUGCUGCAGCUCGCCCCCUUCUGCUCACCAUCUCCUCCCUGGUUCCCAUGGCGCCCUCCCCUUCUUGGUGGCCGACGCCCCUCCCUCCAUGGAGCUCGCCUCUGCCAUGACUGCCCUCUGCCCCCUCCCUUGCUGUUCUUAUGGCAGCCCCUCUCCAUGCCAAGCUCGCCCUCCUUCUGUGCCUAGCCCUAGCUCGCCCCAGCCCCUCUCCCUGGCUGCCCUUGCUCUGUUUUCUCCCAGCCCUAGUCGAGCUCGCCCCUGCCCUAAGUUCUCAAGGCAGCCCCUCUGUGUUUUCCAUGGCCGACACCCUCCCCAUCUUUUAUUGGAAGAAAGGAUUCCUGUUUGACUUCCUAGCGAUGUCACCGUUGAGGUUGGGGAUAUGUCUUUCCACCUUCACAAGUUCCCUUUACUUUCAAAAAGUGCCUUUCUUGAACGGUCAAUUGAAGAAAAUUCUGACCAAGAAGAAUGCAUCAUCAAACUAAAUGACAUUCCUGGGGGUGCCAAGUCAUUUGAGCUAGUUGCAAGGUUCUGCUAUGGUGUGAAAAUAGAGCUUUCACCUGCAAAUGUUGUCUACCUACGAUGUACGGUAGUGGAGUACCUCAGGCCUCAGCAAGGCAUUACUCCGACUCCACAAGCAAACCCCGCGUCUUCGCAUGGGUUCUGGGACAGGCCCCCAGAACCAAAUGAUGUCCCAACAAUGUCGUGGGUAUAUGCUUCGCAGAUGAUGCCUCAAAUGCAUACGCAGAUGCCGUCUCAGAUGCCUACACUGAUGUCAGCGCAAAUGACACUGUUGAUGCUGCCACCACAGAUGUCAUGGGGAUAUCCUGCUAUUGGUCCGUCACAAAAAAUGCCUUGGGGAUCUGCUCCAUGGCCGACACAGCCACAUUCAUCACCUGGAGUGGGUUUGGGUUCACGUCCUACUCCGGACAAUGCUACAAACUUCGUUGACCAGAUCUUCAACACGACCAACUUGUGUCCCGACGACCCACCUCAAGCUUGA